rnacentral:rRNA from 1 species
GAUGAACGCUGGCGGCGUGCCUAAUACAUGCAAGUCGAGCGAACGGACGAGAAGCUUGCUUCUCUGAUGUUAGCGGCGGACGGGGGAGUAACACGUGGAUAACCUACCUAUAAGACUGGGAUAACUUCGGGAAACCGGAGCUAAUACCGGAUAAUAUUUUGAACCGCAUGGUUCAAAAGUGAAAGACGGUCUUGCUGUCACUUAUAGAUGGAUCCGCGCUGCAUUAGCUAGUUGGUAAGGUAACGGCUUACCAAGGCAACGAUGCAUAGCCGACCUGAGAGGGUGAUCGGCCACACUGGAACUGAGACACGGUCCAGACUCCUACGGGAGGCAGCAGUAGGGAAUCUUCCGCAAUGGGCGAAAGCCUGACGGAGCAACGCCGCGUGAGUGAUGAAGGUCUUCGGAUCGUAAAACUCUGUUAUUAGGGAAGAACAUAUGAGUAAGUAACUGUGCACAUCUUGACGGUACCUAAUCAGAAAGCCACGGCUAACUACGUG